rnacentral:ncRNA from 1 species
AAGUCCUGCCACGGCAAAGGCUAGCCACCAUCCGUAACCGAGUGUUGCGUGGUCCGGGUGCGAACCCGGCUGGGAAGCGUACACAGGGAACGUGCAGGCCGCGUGAUGGAGCCCCGAAAGGAAUCUGAUUGCGGAGCCGACGCUGUCCAUUGAGCGGAAGGCCGCAUCGAGCGUCCCGCGUUGGCGAGUGUACGUAGCCUUGCGUGGU